rnacentral:rRNA from 1 species
UACGUAGGUGGCAAGCGUUGUCCGGAUUUACUGGGCGUAAAGAGCGCGCAGGCGGUCGUUCAAGUCGCGUGUGAAAGCCCCCGGCUCAACUGGGGAGGGUCACGCGAUACUGAUCGACUCGAAUGCAGGAGAGGGUAGUGGAAUUCCCGGUGUAGUGGUGAAAUUCGUAGAUAUCGGGAGGAACACCAGUGGCGAAGGCGGCGACCUGGGCCAAUACUGACGCUGAGGUGCGAAAGCGUGGGGAGCAAACAGG